ensembl:lncRNA CLEC4OP C-type lectin domain family 4 member O, pseudogene
CUCUCAGUGACACCGGGGCUGGCAGACACCGGACAUGACCGGGACUUCAUUCGGGGUGAAAUGUUCAGGCAAAUAAAGGUUGUCCAGGCACGCAAUGGACUUCCUGACAUCAACUAACCAGGCGACAUCCUGGAUAGGCCUCUUCAAAGAUGGCCAAGGAAGUGCCCACAGGUGGAUGGAUGGCUCAGCCCCCACCUACAUACUGGCCACCUGAGGAGGCAGGACCACUUUGGACUCGCUCAUCAUUGUGUCCCACCACCCAGCAUCUAAUAGGUGCUCAAUAAAUACUUGCUGAGAAAACAA